rnacentral:rRNA from 1 species
UACGUAGGCAGCAAGCGUUGUUCGGAGUUACUGGGCGUAAAGAGCGCGCAGGCGGUCGUUCAAGUCGCGUGUGAAAGCCCCCGGCUCAACUGGGGAGGGUCACGCGAUACUGAUCGACUGGAAGGCAGGAGAGGGUAGUGGAAUUCCCGGUGUAGUGGUGAAAUGCGUAGAUAUCGGGAGGAACACCAGUGGCGAAGGCGACUACCUGGCCUGUUCUUGACGCUGAGGCGCGAAAGCCAGGGGAGCAAACGGG